rnacentral:rRNA from 1 species
UACGUAGGUGGCAAGCGUUGUCCGGAUUUAUUGGGUUUAAAGGGUGCGUAGGCGGUCUGUUAAGUCAGUGGUGAAAUACGGCAGCUUAACUGUCGAGGUGCCAAUGAUACUGGCGGACUUGAGUACAGACGAGGUAGGCGGAAUUGACGGUGUAGCGGUGAAAUGCUUAGAUAUCGUCAAGAACACCGAUAGCGAAGGCAGCUUACUAGAGUGUAACUGACGCUGAGGCACGAAAGUGUGGGGAUCAAACAGG